rnacentral:rRNA from 1 species
GAGGAAUAUUGGUCAAUGGGCGCGAGCCUGAACCAGCCAAGUAGCGUGAAGGAUGAAGGUCCUAUGGAUUGUAAACUUCUUUUAUAGCAGAAUAAAGUGACCCACGUGUGGGUUUUUGUAUGUAUGCUAUGAAUAAGGAUCGGCUAACUCCGUGCCAGCAGCCGCGGUAAUACGGAGGAUCCGAGCGUUAUCCGGAUUUAUUGGGUUUAAAGGGUGCGUAGGCGGAAAGAUAAGUCAGCCUGUGAAAGUUUGCGGCUCAACCGUAAAAUUGCAGUUGAUACUGUUGUUCUUGAGUGUACAUAAGGUAGGCGGAAUUCGUGGUGUAGCGGUGAAAUGCUUAGAUAUCACGAAGAACUCCGAUUUCGAAGGCAGCUUACCGGGGUACAACUGACGCUGAUGCACGAAAGUGUGGGUA